GUAUAUUCCUUAUUUUUAGUUACUGGAAAUGAAAAGUUUUUUUUUGGAUUCUCAAUCAGUACAAAUUCACUCGGUAGUGAGGGUCAAUUAUGAGGAACCAGGGGGGAUGAACUAGCAAGGGUGAUACGCUGGUUAUUCAAGUUUUUUUCCCGCCUUAGUGUUCCAAAUUUACAGAUUUUACUUGAAUCAUUCUCUUCACAAGGAUGAGUUGGAUUUUGCUCAUAGCAUGAAGCCAGAUGCAGUGUGAGGGUGGCUUGGAUUUAAGUGAGUGGUAUAAAUGUUGUAAGUUUGAGCUUUGCUGCUAUGGUUAAGAUAAAUUGUAAUAAGGCCAUAAUACUUUUAACUCAGCUGUAAUUCUAUUUUUGCACUCUUUUAUUCUCUGUUUUAUUCAGUUAGAGUUAUCAUUACAAGUAUGGAUUAUGUAAACAAGUACAAGAAUUGUUUUGUUAAUGUUAACUUUAACCAAGAAGGUUUGCGGCGUGUUUACUUUG